rnacentral:rRNA from 1 species
GACGAACGCUGGCGGCGUGCUUAACACAUGCAAGUCGAACGGAAAGGCCCUGCUUUUGUGGGGUGCUCGAGUGGCGAACGGGUGAGUAACACGUGAGUAACCUGCCCUUGACUUUGGGAUAACUUCAGGAAACUGGGGCUAAUACCGGAUAGGAGCUCCUGCUGCAUGGUGGGGGUUGGAAAGUUUCGGCGGUUGGGGAUGGACUCGCGGCUUAUCAGCUUGUUGGUGGGGUAGUGGCUUACCAAGGCUUUGACGGGUAGCCGGCCUGAGAGGGUGACCGGCCAAUGGGGGACUGAGAAGCGGCCCAGCCCCCGAGGGGGGGAGGAGGGGGGGAAUUUUGAAAAAGGGGGGGAAGCCGGAGGCAGAAACGCCGGGGGGGGAAUGAGGGCCUUGGGGUUGAAAACCGCUUCCGCCUGUGACGAAGGGUGGGGGAGGGUAAGGGGAAAAAAAGCACCGGCUAACUACGGGC